GCUGCAGAGAAGGGGGCGGAGUCUGAGAGCAUAACUGGGGAGUUCGGUUCUCGAACCUGUACAGAGACCCGCGUUUGGGGGUUUUUGGGAGCGAGUCAGAACUCUCGGCGUCCUGGGCGGACACACCGUCCGCGAGCGACGAGGCCGGAGCAGCGGGGUUUCUGAACUGGAGGGUGUGGUGUGCCCAGGCAGAGGAGCUGCUGACGCUCGCUGAGGCCCUGGGAGCUGCGGGAUGCGGGGAAGGCGCGGGCGCUAGUGUGGAGGCGAGGCCGUAGAUCCGGAGGUGCGGGGCUGGGACGCGUGGGGCGGGCGUCGGCUGUGCGUGGCGUCCGCAGGAAGUGAGUUUGUGGGCUCUCCGGGCCGGGAAAGACCCGAGAGUGAAGUGCGCCGCGCCUGGCCUCACUGCUUACCGUUGGCUUCUGGCGUUUGGGAGAAACCGUUGGUGAAGCGAGGCAGAAUUAGAAAGGUCUUCCUUUUCCGUUGGUUCACCCCCCAAAUGGCCGCUACAGCCAUGGCCGCUACAGCCAGCACAUAGCACCGAUCUGAAGCCAGGAGCCAGGUGCUUCUCCUGGUCUCCCAUGCGGGUGCAGGGCCCAAGCACUUGGGCCAUCCUCCACUGCCUUCCCGGGCCAUAGCAGAGAGCUGGAUUGGAAGAGGAGCAACUGGAACAGAAUCUGGCGCCCCGACCGGGACUAGAACCUGGGGUGCCGGCACCGCAGGCGGAGGAUUAGCCAAGUGAGCCAUGGCGUGGGCCAAUAACUGCUUAAUAAAUAGAAGUUGAACUACACUGUGCCCUUCCCAGGUAAUUGCGCUGCCUGCAAUGCUGGCAUCACAUGAGUCCUGGAUGCCCUCUGCUAAAGGCCUGGGAAAAGCCGUUGGAAGAUGACCCAAGGGUUUGGGCCCCUGCUUUGCACACGGGAGACCUGGAAGAAGCUCUUGUUUCCUGGCUUUUGCAGCCAUCUGGAGAGUGAACCAUAUCUCUAUCUCUGUUUCUCCCCCACUCUGUAAUCCUGACUUCCAAAUAAAUAAAUAAAAUAUUUAA